rnacentral:rRNA from 1 species
GGCAUGCCUAACACAUGCAAGUCGAACGGGGGCAGCAAUGCCCUAGUGGCGGACGGGUGAGGAAUACGUAGGAACCGGCCCACGAGUGGGGGACAACCUGGGGAAACCCAGGCUAAUACCGCAUACGCUCGCGAGAGGAAAGCGGGGGACCUUCGGGCCUCGCGCUGGUGGACGGGCCUACGUCCGAUUAGCUUGUUGGUGGGGUAAAAGCCUACCAAGGCGACGAUCGGUAGCUGGUCUGAGAGGAUGAUCAGCCACACUGGGACUGAGACACGGCCCAGACUCCUACGGGAGGCAGCAGUGGGGAAUAUUGGACAAUGGGCGCAAGCCUGAUCCAGCAAUGCCGCGUGGGUGAAGAAGGCCUGCGGGUUGUAAAGCCCUUUAAGCGGGGAGGAAAGCCGGGGCGUGAAUAACGCCUCAGGGUGACGUUACCCGCAGAAUAAGCACCGGCUAACUCCGUGCCAGCAGCCGCGGUAAUAC